AACCAGGGAAACGGUUGGGAGAGUGGGGAAUAAACAAUCCACCAUCAGAAGCACCCUUCAUGGCACCAAAGACACGAGAACCGGUAGAAGUACGCUUCAAACCAACAUCCAAGAAAACCUUGAAAGGACGAGGACCAUCCUCGAUGGCCUCGGUAAGCUCAAAUUCACCUUCGGGUUCAGUGACACCCUCAUAUUUGUCAGCGAGGCCAACCUUGGCAAGAGCACGACGAGCGACCAAAAGACCGGUAGCGUAGGCGGCAGUCCAGUUGGCCAAACCCCAUUUGAUACCGUAGCGAGGGAGCUCAGAAGAGUGAGCAUGAGCAAGAACAUAGUCACCGUUUACUCUAGAAGAAACUAUUUGGCAUGUGACGAAACGGUUGGAGAAACGAACGACCAAACGGUACUUGGGAGCAUUGUACUUGUUCUUGGCCUGGGCAAUCAAACGCUUACGAGCGUAAUAAUCGGUUUUACCCUCACGACGACGACGAUAUUUCGUCUGGUAACGUGAGAAGUAUGGGCUGCUCUUGACUGCUUUGAUGAAGGGCAUUUUGGCAGUGUGUCGAAUUGCUAUUUCGUGUCAUAUGAAAAGUUUCGAACGCUUGUGACUGUCUAUUUGAAAAAUAAAUAACGAUGAGAUGUUAUAUGU